AAUGAACGCUGGCGGCAGGCCUAACACAUGCAAGUCGAACGGAUCCUUCGGGAUUAGUGGCGGACGGGUGAGUAACGCGUGGGAACAUACCCUUUGGUACGGAAUAGCCUCGGGAAACUGGGAGUAAUACCGUAUGUGGUCGAGAGACGAAAGAUUUAUCGCCAAAGGAUUGGCCCGCGUUGGGUUAGGUAGUUGGUGGGGUAAUGGCCUACCAAGCCGACGAUCCAUAGCUGGUUUGAGAGGAUGAUCAGCCACACUGGGACUGAGACAAGGCCCAGACUCCUACGGGAGGCAGCAGUGGGGAAUUUUAGACAAUGGGGGAAACCCUGAUCUAGCCAUGCCGCGUGAUCGAUGAAGGCCUUAGGGUUGUAAAGAUCUUUCAGGUGGGAAGAUAAUGACUGUACCACCAGAAGAAGCCCCGGCUAACUCCGUGCCAGCCGCCGCCGUAA
rnacentral:rRNA from 1 species